UACGUAGGGUGCGAGCGUUCCUCGGAAUUACUGGGCGUAAAGGGUGCGCAGGCGGUUCUGCAAGUCAGGCGUGAAAGCCCCGGGCUUAACCUGGGAAUGGCGCUUGAAACUACAGGACUGGAGUAUGGCAGAGGGAGGUGGAAUUCCACGUGUAGCGGUGAAAUGCGUAGAGAUGUGGAGGAACACCUAUGGCGAAGGCAGCCUCCUGGGCCAAUACUGACGCUCAUGCACGAAAGCGUGGGGAGCAAACAGG
rnacentral:rRNA from 1 species